GAUGAACGCUGGCGGCGUGCCUAAUACAUGCAAGUCGAGCGAACAGACGAGGAGCUUGCUCCUCUGACGUUAGCGGCGGACGGGUGAGUAACACGUGGAUAACCUACCUAUAAGACUUGGAUAACUUCGGGAAACCGGAGCUAAUACCGGAUAAUAUAUUGAACCGCAUGGUUCAAUAGUGAAAGACGGUUUUGCUGUCACUUAUAGAUGGAUCCGCGCCGGAUUAGCUAGUUGGUAAGGUAACGGCUUACCAAGGCAACGAUGCGUAGCCGACCUGAGAGGGUGAUCGGCCACACUGGAACUGAGACACGGUCCAGACUCCUACGGGAGGCAGCAGUAGGGAAUCUUCCGCAAUGGGCGAAAGCCUGACGGAGCAACGCCGCGUGAGUGAUGAAGGUCUUCGGAUCGUAAAACUCUGUUAUUAGGGAAGAACAAAUGUGUAAGUAACUAUGCACGUCUUGACGGUACCUAAUCAGAAAGCCACGGCUAACUACGUG
rnacentral:rRNA from 1 species